GGAAUGUUGAUGCUGGUUCGAUGUUUGCACAAAGAAGCAUACCACGCAUACCCUAAAAAAAUUGCUACGAGGCAGUUGCAGUGAGUUUUUUUUCACUAUCCCAAAUGAAAAGAGGAAUAGUUUGAAGACAUUUAUAGAAUUCAUGAUGUUUUAUAAAGUGGUCCCAAGCAUAUUGAUUAAAAAACUACGAUGCACAUUUCCAGGUUUUGGUUCUCAACAAAUAACUGGACAACUUAUUGUGUGUGUUACCGUGAUAUGAUUCCCAACAGACAAAUCAUGUGUGUUACCAUGAUAUGAUUCCAGAUUGAUUACUUACUUACCAUGCUAUAAUACCUGACAGGACUGGACAACUUAAUGUGUCUCGUACUGUACUAUGAUUCCGAACAAAUUGAUGGACAACAUACUACAAUUGUGAGAAUGUUAGAUUUUUUUAUACCCCGCAAACGAAGUUUAGGGGGGUACAACUUUGUCCCCCCUAAAGAAUUUUUUACUACUGCAUGGAACAGUCUGAAAAUUUGUAUAUAUGUUGAUCACCAUCUGAAGUUGUGCACCUGGAAUUUUUUUAAGAUCAGACAAGAUUUAAUGAUUUUAUGACAGUUUUCAUUUUCCUUAUUCUAUAAAUUGUACACUGAUGUUGAAAAGUAAGGAAAAUAAUCCUUACAGAUUUUAUUAAUUAAUUAAUAGUAUUAAAACACUCUAAAAUAUAUUUAUAUAAAUACAUUCAGAUGGAGGUUUUUUGUCUUUAUGUCUUAACUAAAUUUAUUUUUUAUAAGUAUUCUAUCAAUGCAAAAUUUUUGUUUGCCAAUGCUUAGGAGCUAAUAAGAACAUCAAAGACAAGUGUGGCUGAAUUCAUUUGUCCCAAGGCAGCCAUUAUCUGAGCCAUGGCUUAGAUGGAGCAUUUGUUUAGGGAAAAUUGAUAAUCUGUAAAAUGAAGAGUGGUUUUGGGGCUAUUUUAAAAACUGGUUCAUGUAAACCAAAAGUUUCUAUCAUUAUAAGGAAAUGAAAAACAUCAUUAUUAAUAAAGAAGUUAACUAUUUUUAGAAGUUGUUUAAAUUUAUUAGUUAAGUAAAUUGAUGAUAGGGCAAUGAUUUAAAUGAAAUUCAAAAUUACUAUUAUGAUAAUAGUGUUUUGGCAGUUUUAAAAUUGUUUGUAAUAUUAAAUUUUCUUUUUUACAUAUUUUUACAUAGUAUGGUAAUUAUGGUAAUGUUUGGGGAGUUUAUUAAAUUUAACAAGCUCAUCAAAGAAAACAUGUAAUAUAGUCACCGGGAAUGAAAUUCACUUCGCUGUAAGCAUCAAUUCAUUAAAAACGUGUUCACUAUAACCGUGUUUUACUGUAAAUAAAAAAAAUAUCAUCAGAUCCAUAAAUUUGUAAAUGUAUUACUGUUAUACAUAUGCAUUUACAGUGAAAUUCGGACAAUUUUGAUUUUUCUCUGUUAACUUUUUUUUUUUUACAAUUCUAGAAUUUUUUUUAUUUGUAUGUGUUCCUAACCUUUAUUAUUCAAUUCAAUUAUUUGUCCCAUUUGAAAUUAGCCAUGCGGGGGUAUUUGUCCCAUUAGGACAGUUCUAGUUAAGCUUAGAAUUCCAUUGUAUUACCUUGAUAAAAAAGUUUUUGCUCACCUGAACCAGAGGCUCAAGUGAGCUUUUCUGAUUAAAAUUUGUCCAUUGUCUGUCGUUGUUGGCUGUUUCUAUAAAGCUAUGAAUUAACUAUAGGUUUCCAUAAGAAAUAGAGGGAAUAAUACUUGGUUGAUGUAAAUAUUUAAGAAUAAUCAGAAAUUUGUUGGAAUUAUGUAGAAAUUUUAUUCUCAUAAUCAAUUUGUCCAGAAAAGCUGAAUUUUGUGUGGAAGCAUCCUCAGAUGGUGCAUAUUAAUGUUCAAAUCAUGAUCCCAGGGGGUAGGAUGGGGCCAUAAUGGAGAAGGGGGGUUCAAAUUCUGACAAAGGAAUUUAUAGUGAAACAUCUUUAAGAAUCUUCUUCUCUAAAACCUAUUGGCCAGAAAAGCUUUAACCGACGUGAAAGCAUCCUCAAGUAGUGUAUAUUCAAGUCUAUUCAAAUCAUGAUCCCCAGGGUAAGGUAUGGGCCAAAAUGCAUGAUUAAUAUUAAGAGAAUAAUUAUUUGGAAUCUUUAUCUUUUAAAGGGCCUCAAUAUUAAAUGUUAAAUUUUUAAAAAGGUGGGGAAAAUUUUAAGCUAUACAUAUUUUGCUUACAAAAUAUUUUGAAAGAUGUUUUAUAUUUUACUUAACUGUAUAUCAGUUGGCCAUUGUUGCUCAGGUGAGUGAUGUGGCCCUUAGGCCUCUUGUUCUUAAAUGGAAUUUGCAUUUCGGAUUCUUUUUAUAAUUUCUGUUAUGAAAACUUUUUGUACAUCAUGAAAAAUACAAUAAAAUGCUGUGUUUUU